CAACUUUCAACAACGGAUCUCUUGGUUCUGGCAUCGAUGAAGAACGCAGCGAAAUGCGAUAAGUAGUGUGAAUUGCAGAAUUCAGUGAAUCAUCGAAUCUUUGAACGCACAUUGCGCCCUUUGGUAUUCUAAAGGGCAUGCCUGUUCGAGCGUCAUUU
rnacentral:rRNA from 1 species